GCCUAUGGCAAUACUGUCCUGAACACACCCAAUCUUGUUUGAUCUCAGAAGCUAAGCAGGGUUGGGCUUGUUUAGUAUUUGGAUAGGAGGAAGAGCUGCCACAGGGC
rnacentral:rRNA from 1 species